AGUGAACGCUGGCGGUAGGCCUAACACAUGCAAGUCGAACGGCAGCACAGUAAGAGCUUGCUCUUACGGGUGGCGAGUGGCGGACGGGUGAGGAAUACAUCGGAAUCUACUUUUUCGUGGGGGAUAACGUAGGGAAACUUACGCUAAUACCGCAUACGACCUACGGGUGAAAGCAGGGGAUCUUCGGACCUUGCGCGAUUGAAUGAGCCGAUGUCGGAUUAGCUAGUUGGCGGGGUAAAGGCCCACCAAGGCGACGAUCCGUAGCUGGUCUGAGAGGAUGAUCAGCCACACUGUAACGGAGACACGGUCCAGACUCCUACGGGAGGCAGCAGUGGGGAAUAUUGGACAAUGGGCGCAAGCCUGAUCCAGCCAUACCGCGUGGGUGAAGAAGGCCUUCGGGUUGUAAAGCCCUUUUGUUGGGAAAGAAAAGCAGCAGGUUAAUACCCCGCUGUUCUGGCGGUACCCAAAGAAUAAGCACCGGCUAACUUCGUG
rnacentral:rRNA from 1 species